GAGUUUGAUCCUGGCUCAGAUUGAACGCUGGCGGCAGGCCUAACACAUGCAAGUCGAGCGGAUGACGGGAGCUUGCUCCUUGAUUCAGCGGCGGACGGGUGAGUAAUGCCUAGGAAUCUGCCUGGUAGUGGGGGACAACGUUUCGAAAGGAACGCUAAUACCGCAUACGUCCUACGGGAGAAAGCAGGGGACCUUCGGGCCUUGCGCUAUCAGAUGAGCCUAGGUCGGAUUAGCUAGUUGGUGGGGUAAUGGCUCACCAAGGCGACGAUCCGUAACUGGUCUGAGAGGAUGAUCAGUCACACUGGAACUGAGACACGGUCCAGACUCCUACGGGAGGCAGCAGUGGGGAAGUAUUGGACAAUGGGCGAAAGCCUGAUCCAGCCAUGCCGCGUGUGUGAAGAAGGUCUUCGGAUUGUAAAGCACUUUAAGUUGGGAGGAAGGGCAGUAAGUUAAUACCUUGCUGUUUUGACGUUACCGACAGAAUAAGCACCGGCUAAUCUGUGCCAGCCG
rnacentral:rRNA from 1 species